UGGGGUGUAGCUCAAUGGCAGAGCGCUCGACUGUUAAUCGAGUGGUUGGAGGUUCGAGUCCUCCCGCCCCAG
rnacentral:tRNA from 1 species